UUUUGUAUUGUUUUCUUGUUGUUGUCAUUGUUGUUGUUGAGGUUAACGACACACACAUAGAUUGCCUAAGUGCCAGUACCUCCUAUACUACAUUUCACCAGAGGAUUCCCACCUGCCCUUUUAUAAGCACCGCUCAGAACCAAGGCUUCCCAUGAUAAUUGUCUGCUAGAACUCAGUAAAUAAUAUGGUUUCUAAAUUUCUUCCGUUUGUAUUGCAUAUCAUUUAUGAAGCUUAGUAUAGUCGAGAAAAUCGUUUCUAAAUUUUUUAAAUGAAUAUUCAAAGAUUUGUAAGAUGUCUGGUUAAUGCUACAAUUUUCUUACUGACUAGCAGAGAGUACAGAUGAAAUUUUGUGUUUCUUCAUUUCUAAAAAGGAACCCACAGAGGGAAGAAAGGAAAAAUUAUAUGUGUGCAAUUCAGUGUCUCAAUAAAUUAGAAGCUGGAAUCAGAUGUAUCAUCAGCUAGCUUUGAUGAUGGGUAGAACAAGUGACAGGCCAUUCAGAGGUUGGAGAAGGGAGAUAAUGAAAUCUUAAAUUAAAAUAGCUCCCACAACAGAUUGACAGUACUGUUCACAGCAAAUUAAAAAAGGAUUGACAAUUGGAGAGAAAAUAGCCGGCUGGAAUCUGAGACGAGGAUUUUUAAAAUCAUCUGUCAUUUUGCUUCAUGGGUAAAAUCUUAACUGAGGUCUCUGUAGAGAUAAAAAUGCAUUUAAAAUGUUUCAAAAAUCCAACUAAAUGGAGAAAGAUCUUUAAGUGAGUUAUGAAUUUCAAGAUCCCUUUGUCUUACAAUAAAAAGACUGUAUUUCAAAAGCAUGAAAGAAUAAGCUUUACAAAGGGUCAGAUGGAUUUCAGAAGUGUUUUCAAUCCGUCAUGCACAGUCAUGUACCAUUGUCAGCUUACUGUAUAGUACUAUAUGGGGUUGGAAGCAUACUGCAGAAGUUGUGGAGUAUUCGUGUUGAUACCAGACUCUUCUAAUUUUGUUGCAGUUUUAUAAAUAAAAAGCAUUCAAAAUAAUUGUUUUUACAAGUAUAUGGAAAAUGACAUAAGAAAUUCCUCAAUGUUCUGUUUCCUGGCCAUGAGAAUCAGUUGCUCUCACUCCUUCUUUUUUAUCACCAGUUUCAUGAAACCUCAAUCGUCAGUGCUAGGCAAAAGUCCUCAGAAGUGUUACAUGAAACGAUGGAUGGUGCAAGUCUUUAGAUUUUAAGGAGUUGAUUCUUUAAUGUGGAUGGCAUUCCUUAUAUUCACCCCCCUAAUCUUCACAUUUUGUAAAUCUCUGUUCCUUAUUGACCUGAAGAAUAAUAUUUUCACCCCAUGGUAAUUUAUUUCCUCAUCUCCAUAAUCAUCAGCUCCUUGUAAAACUAAAAACAAAAGAAUUAAGUACACAAGAGGAAAUAAAUAACCAGAAAACUGAUUGCAUUUUCAGAUUAUAUGCUUAAUAUUCUUUUUAAUAAACAGAUAAAUGGAUAAAAUUGAUCAUUUCACAGCUGUUACCUAGCAUUGAAUAUUUUUUAUCCUCAAAUUAGAAACAUGUGUUCAUAUGCAUUGUUUCAUUCACAGUUCUGUGUGUGAAUGCAUUUAAUCAAUAACUUCACAUGUAUUUUAAUUUUCUAGUAUUUUAACCUUAUAAUUUCUUUGUGUAGUUAAGAUAUAUACACAUGUGUAUGUACUACAUAUAUAAAGCAUAUAUGUCUGUACAUAUAAAUAACAUGUUUUAUUUAUAUACUUAGGAUAUAUAUUAUACAUUUCAUUUAUAUACAUGAACAUAACAAAAAUAAAUAAAACAGGAAACAAGGAGGGGUACUGGCAGUGUUUGAAGGGAGGAAAGGGAAAGAGAAAUGGUGUAAUUAUAAUCUCAAAUAAUAAAAAUUAUAAUUUAAUAAUAAUAGAAUUACUUUUCCUCCUUGAUAUCUAUUCUUGGAGAAAAGUACGUAUUGUAUCAAAUAUUAGUGUAUAAUUCAGUUAUUUAUGAUUGAAACCAAGCUAUUUGAGAAGUUAAUUCUCUAAAAGGCAGAAUUUUUUUUAUUACAAUUUAAGACAUAAUUCCACAUAAGUGUUUCUGAAAAUUUUUUGAGAAGUCUAAGCAUCCUUCAAUUAUCCAGAUGAUAAAACUGAAUGCUAAACUUUAAGGCAGUGUUAUGUAAUGAUUUACUAGGAUACCAUCUAUAUGCUUUAAUUUUGCUCAGGUCAGUUUUAAUAUUUACUGAUAUAGAGAAUCCACUUCUACCACAACUUUUGUAAAGUUAGCCCCACUUUCAUAUAUUCUAAGACAUACUAUAAAUAGAAGAUACUUAGGUAGAUAGAUGAUAAAUGGUCGAUAGGUAGGUAGAUAAAUAGAUAGAUGGUAGAUUAAGUACUAAUUGGCUGCAAUUAUGUUUAACUAUCACAAGAAUGGGCAAAUCAAUAUAAAAAUUAAAAUAUAAUAAACUCUAUUGAGAGUCUCAAAUAUGAUCUGAUUUUGAUUAUUUAAUAUUUAAAGCAUGUACAUAAAUAUAUCGACAUACAAACAAACAUAAAACAUGUUCUGAUGUUUCUAUCUUGAAGCAUCAAUAUUCAUCUACUCAUCUUUAUUAUAUUUGUAUCCUAUUAUUCAUAAAAUUCCUUAUUAAUCCAAUUCAAAUUACUUUGCCUUCCAAAUUUCUCAAUAAAUGUUUAAAGUGUGAAAAAUUCAGAGGUAGACGUGAUGUUUCACAUCUGUAUUCCCAGCAUUUGAAAGCUGAUGGAAGGGAUAGUAAGAAUAGUUAAAGUACAAGCCUUUCAACUCUAUUCAAGGUCUAUGAGCAGCCAUGGCCAUGCCAAAAAUGAAAGUUAAU
rnacentral:lncRNA from 1 species